rnacentral:rRNA from 1 species
AUGUCAUCAAAGGAGAUUGUUCCUUUUGGUGAAGAAUAUGUCAUCGCUGAUGGCAUUGAUGAAGAGAAUCCAUCUACUGCUACGUCAGAGCAGUUGGAUGAUGAAAUUGAAGUGGAUGAAAUCCCUUCACCACUACAGGUAUCAUCACCCAUGCCUCAGUUCACUGCUGAAGAGGCUGACGUUGAAGAAAUUGAAGCUGAAGAAGAGGAUGUGGACAUCGAGUCUAUGACUCUAGUGCUGAAUGAUGAUUAUUGGGAAAGUCAUCAUCCCAAUUCUCCUCUAACCACUCCUCUGCAAAAAAAAUCUCAAUCCCCCAUGCAAACUGAAGAAAUUCAUACGGGUUCUGAUCAAGGUCAAGCUUCACUUCAGUCUAUCCCUGAAGAAGUUCCAGCCACUAGUGCUGAUGAAAUGGAGAAGAAGACAGCAGAAGAAACCGCUCCUGAGAUUCCUCGGCCUGAGGCUCCAGAGGCUGUGCUUCAAGAGGGUGUGAAGACUUCCACUGCAAAUCUUCAGCCGAAGCCACAGAAUCCUCACACCAAGAACUAG